AUUGAACGCUGGCGGCAUGCCUUACACAUGCAAGUCGAACGGCAGCGGGGGAGAAGCUUGCUUUUCCUGCCGGCGAGUGGCGAACGGGUGAGUAAUACAUCGGAACGUGCCCUGUAGUGGGGGAUAACUAGUCGAAAGAUUAGCUAAUACCGCAUACGACCUGAGGGUGAAAGUGGGAGACCGCAAGGCCUCAUGCUAUAGGAGCGGCCGAUGUCUGAUUAGCUAGUUGGUGGGGUAAAGGCCUACCAAGGCGACGAUCAGUAGCUGGUCUGAGAGUACGAGCCGCCACACUGGGACUGAGACACGGCCCAGACUCCUACGGGAGGCAGCAGUGGGGAAUUUUGGACACUGGGCGAAAGCCUGAUCCAGCAAUGCCGCGUGUGUGAAGAAGGCCUUCGGGUUGUAAAGCACUUUUGUCCGGAAAGAAAUGGCUCUGGUUAAUACCUGGGGUCGAUGACGGUACCGGAAGAAUAAGGACCGGCUAACUACGUGCCAGCCGCCGCGGUAA
rnacentral:rRNA from 1 species